AGGUUAAGUUAUUAAGGGCACACGGUGGAUGCCUUGGCAGUCGAACCGAUGAAGGACGUGGCUACCUGCGAUAAGCCUCGGUAAGCUGGAAGCAAGCUUUGACCCGAGGAUGUCCGAAUGGGGAAACCCACCAGAGCGAACCUCUGGUACCUUGCACUGAAUACAUAGGUGCAUGGAGGGAACCCAGGGAACUGAAACAUCUAAGUACCUGGAGGAAAACAAAGAAAACUCGAUUCUCUUAGUAGUGGCGAACGAAAAGGGAAUAGCCCAAACCGCCCCCUUCGGGGAGCGGGGUUGUAGGACCGACAAUAACGGGACCCGAACGUCUAGCNGAAGCGCACUGGAAAGGCGCGCCAGAGUAGGUGAUAGCCCCGUAGGCGAAAGACGUGGAGGCCCAGUCGGCACCUGAGUAGCUCGAGUCACGUGGAACCUCGAGUGAAUCCACGGGGACCACCCCGUAAGGCUAAAUAUUACGACUGACCGAUAGUGAACCAGUACCGUGAGGGAAAGGUGAAAAGUACCCCGUGAGGGGAGUGAAAUAGUACCUGAAACCGUGUGCUUACAAGCAGUCACAGCCCUAUGCAUGGUCCUUCGGGAUCUGAAUGGGUGGUGGCGUGCCUAUUGUAGCAUGAUCCUGCGACUUACUGGCAGUGCCAAGUUUAAGCCGUUUAGGCGAAGGCGUAGCGAAAGCGAGUCUUAAUAGGGCGACAAAGGCGCUGUUAGUAGACCCGAAACCGGAUGAGCUAGCCAUGGCCAGGUUGAAGCUUCCGUAACAGGAAGUGGAGGACCGAACCCGUUGAGGUUUAAAACUCUUGGGAUGAGCUGUGGUUAGGAGUGAAAAGCUAACCGAAUCCGGAGAUAGCUGGUUCUCCCCGAAAUAGCUUUAGGGCUAGCCUCGGGGGUUUACCAAUGGCUGUAAAGCACUGAUUGGGCUAGGGGGCCUACCAGCUUACCAAACCCUGUCAAACUCUGAAUGCUAUUGGUCCAUACCCCGGGAGUCAGUCUAUGGGAGCUAACUUUCAUAGACGAGAGGGAAACAACCCAGACCGCCAGUUAAGGUCCCAAAAUCGUGACUAAGUGGAGAAGGAUGUGGAGAUGCAAAGACAGCUAGGAGGUUGGCUUAGAAGCAGCCAUUCCUUGAAAGAGUGCGUAAUAGCUCACUAGUCGAGCGUCUCUGCGCCGAAGAUGAUCGGGGCUAAGUCAUGUACCGAAUCUGCGGCAGGGCGGAACUUUAGGGUUCCGCACUGGGUAGGGGAGCGUUCCGUAGGCCGUUGAAGCGCUACCGUAAGGAGGCGUGGAGGUAUCGGAAGUGCGAAUGCAGGAAUGAGUAACGAUAAGAAGGGUGAGAAUCCCUUCCGCCGAAAGCCUAAGGGUUCCUNAGCAAGGGUCGUCCUCUCAGGGUUAGGCGGGACCUAAGGCGAGGCCGAAAGGCGUAGUCGAUGGACAGCAGGUUAAUAUUCCUGCCCCACUUUCGUGGAGUGAUGGGGUGACGCAUUAGGAUAGGCCAACCGGAGCCAUGGCUGAGCCCGGCGGCGUGCGAAGCUCGGAGGGAUAGGAAAAUCCGCCCUCCACAUAGAGUGACGUACGUCGGGAAGGCCCUACGGGGCUGAUAACUGGUUGAAUCCACGGUGCCAAGAAAAACCUCUAAAUGUUGAAGCGAGAGUGCCCGUACCAAAACCGACACAGGUGGGCGAGUGUAAGAGCACUAAGGCGCGCGAGAGAACUCUGGUUAAGGAACUCUGCAAAAUGGCCCCGUAACUUCGGGAGAAGGGGUCCCGCGUGUAGGGUUAGCAAUUAUGCAAAGCCCGAAGCGGGCACAGUGAAUUGGCUCUAGCGACUGUUUACCACAAUCACAGCACUCUGCAAACCCGAGUAGGGGAAGUAUAGGGUGUGACACCUGCCCGGUGCCNGAAGGUUAAGGGGAGCGGUGCAAGCUGCGAACUGAAGCCCCGGUGAACGGCGGCGGUAACUAUAACCGUCCUAAGGUAGCGAAAUUCCUUGUCAGGUAAGUUCUGACCUGCACGAAUGGUGUAACGACUGGAGCGCUGUCUCAACCAGAGACUCGGUGAAAUUGAAUUGGCUGUAUAGAUGCGGCCUACCCGCAGCAGGACGAAAAGACCCCGUGGAGCUUUACUACAGCUUGGUAUUGGCGUUUGGAUUGAUCUGUGUAGGAUAGGUGGGAGACUGUGAAGCGUGGCCGUUAGGCUACGUGGAGUCAAUGGUGAAAUACCACCCUGAUUAGUUCGCACGUCUAACCUUCGUCCGUUAUCCGGAUGGGGGACAGUGCUAGGUGGGUAGUUUGACUGGGGCGGUCGCCUCCUAAAGUGUAACGGAGGCGCACAAUGGUUCCCUCAGCACGGUCGGAAAUCGUGCAUAGAGCGUAAGGGUAUAAGGGAGCUUGACUGCGAGACGUACAUGUCGAGCAGGUACGAAAGUAGGUCCUAGUGAACCGGUGGUUCCUUGUGGAAGGGCCAUCGAUCAACGGAUAAAAGUUACCCCGGGGAUAACAGGCUGAUACCGCCCGAGAGUUCACAUCGGCGGCGGUGUUUGGCACCUCGAUGUCGGCUCGUCUUAUCCUGGGGCUGGAGAAGGUCCCAAGGGUCCGGCUGUUCGCCGGUUAAAAAGGCACGCGAGCUGGGUUCAGAACGUCGUGAGACAGUUCGGUCUCUAUCCGCUGUGGGCGUAGGAAAGCUGAGGAGAGCUGUUCCUAGUACGAGAGGACCGGAAUGGACACACCUCUAGUGUCUUAGCUGUCGCACCAGCGGCAUAUGUUAAGUAGCUAUGUGUGGAACGGAUAAGCGCUGAAAGCAUCUAAGCGCGAAGCCGACUCCAAGAUGAGCUUUCCCACCUCCUUGUGAGGGUAAGACCCCCGGAAGACUACCGGGUUGAUAGGCUGGAAGUGUAAGCGCAGCAAUGUGUUUAGCUGACCAGUACUAAUAGGUCGAGGACUUAACCUU
rnacentral:rRNA from 1 species